rnacentral:rRNA from 1 species
UACGGAGGGUGCAAGCGUUAUCCGGAUUCACUGGGUUUAAAGGGUGCGUAGGAGGGCAGGUAAGUCAGUGGUGAAAUCUCCGAGCUUAACUCGGAAACUGCCGUUGAUACUAUCUGUCUUGAAUACCGUGGAGGUGAGCGGAAUAUGUCAUGUAGCGGUGAAAUGCUUAGAUAUGACAUAGAACACCAAUUGCGAAGGCAGCUCACUACACGAGCAUUGACUCUGAGGCACGAAAGCGUGGGGAUCAAACAGGA